rnacentral:lncRNA from 1 species
GUGAGUGUGAGCAGCGGCCCAGCUCACCUGCUUUCCACUCUCAACGCUGCAUUAAGAACAGGGGCCUCUGCUCUCCUGUAACUCAAAUAAAACACAGCCCAUCUGCUUCCACUGCAAGGCACACCUCAAGCUGGAGCCAUAUUCCUGAGAACUGCCAUCAGACUCGAAAACUUUGAGACACACUGAAGCUCUUAAUGCAAACUCUUCUUAAGGGAUGGGGUCUUCCUCUUCUGCCCUGCUCAGAAAACUGAGGCUCAGGAUGCAUGCACGACUAGGGCUCUCCCCGGUCAAGACUUAAGGGUGGCCAUCAGCCUCUGUGGCGGAGGAGCUGUGGCUGCUGCUCUGCUUGGGUUGGGGCUCAUCAUUCCUUCCUCACGGCUGUCGGGAGUGUGAAUUAGACUCCAGAUGUAAAAGGGCUGUGUACAGUGCAAAUUCACAGCGUGAGCAUCAGAGAUUGUUAUUCAGGGAGGAGACUAAAGGGAAAAGGAAGCAGGAAGGAAGUCCCGGCAAGGCCAGGGCAAGGAAACACCCCUGGCUGCUGAAGUGGAUUCAUCUCCAGGCCCUCCCAGCCGCCAUUCUGCUGCCUCCUCACCCGGCCUUGCCCCUUGCCGUGGAGUUGAGGAUGGGCGGGCGGAGCCAGUCACUGCAAACUCGCUCUGGCCUCUUCCCCUGCCUCCUCUCAGGACACUCACAGAACAGGUCAGGGCAGCCUGCCUGGAGCUAGACCCUCCAGAAGGAGAUGGGGCUGCAGAGGGGGAGGUGCUCCUUCCUACAGGGCUGGCAAGACGGCCAUCAGAGAGUCGCCCAAGAGCAAGGGCACUUGCCAAGGUCGCCAAGGUGGGGUGGGAGCCCUGCUCCUCGUGUCAAGAUGUAACAGCUGGGAGCCAUCUGGGACUUCUCCC